AUUUAUAUAGUUUAACAAAAACAUUACAUUUUCACUGUAAAAAUAAAAAUUAAUUUUUUAUAAAUA
rnacentral:tRNA from 1 species